rnacentral:lncRNA from 1 species
UCUUCUUCUUCUUCUUCUUCUUCUUCUUCUUCUUCUUCUUCUUCUUCUUCUUCUUCUUCUCACUUCCUGUUUAAGAGAAGAAAGUUGGUGGUUGUGUGCUGGUGUGCGUUGCUGCUGUCGUUGUUGAUGGAUUGUGUUCAUGCUCAAAAGCUCAACGUGCCCUGGAGUCCUCAGUCCAUGAUGUACCUGAAGGGCAAACAUGGACGAAGGUUUGUCACAAAUGAAGACAACAGCAUUUGGAGGCAGGGCUUGUUCACAGUGUUGAAGGGCCUUCAGAGUCUUCCUUCUUCUUCAGACGUGAACAAACCUUUUCAUUCUUUGGGCUCAGAGAGAAUCCUUGUCCAUUUCCUCCAACACAGAUGAUUUAUAUUAUAAUUAUUAUUAUUAUUAUUAUUAUUAUUUUUAGUAAUAUUACUAUGAAUGUACUUCCACACAUUCCACAGAGUGUGAUUCGAUGUGUAUUCAGGCUGAAAUAAAUGAUGGG